ACAGAAUUGGAAAUAAAAUGUAAAAUUUUAUCAUAUAAAAUUAUUACUGUUAAAUGUGCAGUAAUGUUUUUUUUUGUUUUUGUCAUUUGUUAAAGCCGUCACAAUAUCCUGACAACAUAUCAUCAGACAGAUCAUCUGUGUUUAAAUCUUACUCCUCUGCCUCCUUCCUGUCCUACAGCCAUCUUCAGAGAUAGAGCGCUGUAGAUCAGAAACAACCAAUCAGAGGCAAGAGGAGAGUCUUAGCGCCGUCAAUCAUGGUUGUGUAGGCGCCGCUUAUGCUUUCCUUGUUGCGCUCAGCUACGCUGCAGUUGCCAUGAAUGCUAAGGCUAGUUAGCAUGGCCACCGAUGACGGCGGAUAAACAGUUUACUGUAAUGGUGAAUUGUUUCUCUGUCAUUAGCACAGCAGCAGUGGACACAUGAGUGUGUGCGACAUUGUAAAAAGGAGUGUGAAUGUAUAUUCCCUUUACAACAAUAAAAUACAGCGCAGAAGAAGUUACCUAACUAAAUGCUAGCAUGAGAUGCUCUGUGAAACAAGUUGGUGUCAGCAUCAUGCUGUGGGGAAAAGGUACAGGGAGGUCAGAGCUGAUGGGAGGGUAGAUGGAGGUGAACACAGUGCAUUAAAACCUCAGAGGAUGCAAAAAAUGUCCAACUGGGGUCAAAGUUCAGCCUCCAAGCAGGAAAACGGCCUUAAACCUACAGUCAGAGAACUGUACUCAUGUGUUAGAACGGCCUAGUUGAAGUCUAGACAUACAGUUACAUUCAGUAAAUGUAGGUUUUCUAACCUAAAGGUGGGUUUACUUCGUGGGAGUUCAUUUCCUCCCUGUGUUGCCUGCAGACACAAAUCCCCAUAAAUCACGCUGUUUGAAAACAACCUCUGCUUUCAGGACUUCAUUUGAAACCCAUUUUUAGUAGGCUAUUUGCUUUCUCUCUUCCCAAUUUGGCCUCAGGAGAUUUUUAUCUUUCCCUUCCAGUCAGCAGAGGGCUAAAAAUAUUCGGCUUAGAUUUUGGACUUUACAAGGAGGGCUUCUUGAACUUUGUUUACAACUGGAGGUGACCCAUGGCCCGUGCAGCGGGGCUGAGUCGCACUGAUAAGGCCGCGAGGCGUUCCCCCACUUCAGACUGCGCUCACAAAACAACGGCUGGCUUCAUGUUGGCUGGGCUGCAGUUGUUUUGCCCUUCAUGUAAAAGCGUGUCCACUUCAGAAGCCAGCUCCUUAUAAGGAGAAACUUCAGAGGAAGUGUCUUUUUUUUCUUUCGGUAUGUGUUGGGGAAUUUUGUUUGCUGAUACGAACAAUAAACUCGAUCCUAUUAGAACAAUAGCCAGACAGCUUUGUCUGAAUAACAUCACCUGCCAUUUUUUCCAAGAUGGCAUGACAAGGGGUUUCAUCGGGAUGCGAAAAUAUGCGGCUAACUUCCGCUUCACAAAGGGGGGGGGGAAAUAUAGCUGAACUGGCACAUUCAUGACCCGACUCCGUCUCUAGAGGGUUACAGAAAUAAAAGCCUCACAAUAAGGUUUCAUCAGGAGGAUGGGAACCGAAGCCUUGAGCUUCUGACCCUGUUCUUGUGGUCAACACCACCACUGAAGCAUUCCAACAAAUAACACAUUACAUUCAGCUGAGCUCAUGCUGACCCGUCAGCUGUUCUUCCUGCAGAGAGGUUUCGCUGCCUCCUUCUGUCCUCUGGCUCAGAGAGGAUAAACAUUGUUGUCCCUUAAACAGAGUCCAGGUCACUGAUAAAACCCCACAUGUUGAAAGUAUCAGAAGCUCGACGCCUCUCGGUGAAGUAACAGGGUCAGUGGCUGGAGUUAUCUCUCCGGAGAUAGCGGCAGAGUUUUCCUGCUCCUUAUCUGUGUUUAUGUGUGUGUGUGUGUGUGUGUGUGUACUGUACAUGGAGGACUGUACUUGUCUUUUGAAGCAGCUAGAGAAUAAUUUGCUAGCUUGUUAUCUUUGUUGUUAGAAAUCCUAGAGGUUUGAAACGUUCCAAUCUGCAGCGUGUGUUCUGACCGUCAGAGACGCUGCACUGGGUUACAUAACAGCGUAAUGUUUUACAGAUGCUAUCUAUAUUAGCAUCUUUUCAUGCCUAUAUGUUUACAUUUUGGUGGAAGCUGUCACUAUUUUGUGACAGCUUGAUAUGAGACAGAUGAUCUGUGUAGAAAAAGAAAAGAAAAACAAUCCAGCUCCUCUGCCUUCUCCCAAUGCUGACUAGAAAUAACCAAUCAGAGCCAGGAGGCGGGUCUUAUCACUGUCAACCAUAAUCAUGUGUGGCGGCCUCCAUUCUCCCCUCCACUGCUAGCUCUCUGCUACGAUACCGCUAGCGGAGCCUGUAGUGAUUGCUCAGGCUAGUUAGCAUGGCCACCGAUGACAGCAGAUAAAUGGUUCUUCUGUAAGGUGUUUUUCUUUUGUGUCGUUCUCUGGCAGUGCUACAGUGCCACCAACUGGCCUGGCAGACCUACUACAUCAUAUUCUAUGGCCUGCAACUUGUCUUGUGGGAUGCAUGUAUUUUUCUUAAUCAAAAAUUCGCCAUAGUAUCUAACAGUUCCAAAACAAUUUGAGCUCCAAGAUCACAACAAGCAAAAAUACAGACCAUCCAUUUUUACAGAUCGGUUCAAAACUUGCUGGUGGACAAGCAAGUUUGAACGGUAAAGGCAUGUGUGUGUGAACAACCAGAUUAUCCGUCAGAUCAGCAUUUUGUUUGAAACUUGUUCGUGCCUCUCGGAUGAGAAAUGGAUCUUGGCCUGGAGGGAAAUGGGAAAAUGUUGUGAUUGUUACGUUCAGCCUGGCAGCGGGGAAGAGAAUGGCGUGUUCCUGGCAGGAUCCCGACCCAUCAGAACACACACUGUUAUCACAGUCUGGUCCACAGAGUGUGUUUCCACGAAGGCCUUCAAUGCUGCUGAACCCUCAGACUGCAUCACUGAAUGCACCAUGAUGACAAGUAAAAGAUGGGAUGUUAAGAAGUGUAAAAUCAUGUCUGCUCUGCAAACAACAUGAUUUUACACUUUUUUCCCCUGCAUUCAGGAAACACAGGCUUCCAGAAUGCAGAACAUCAAUUUGUAUCAUUUACAUGAGACUCUCAGCGGUAGGCUAGAGCCCCCUGCUGGUAGAUCUGACACAUUCCAGUUCAGAUGUAGAAAUAUGCCUCAAUGCAGAGGCUGCCCUCUGCUGUUCAAGAAAGAAAGUGCAAACCACUAACUAAAGAUGUUUAUUUAAUUUCAAACUGGUGACUUGUAAGCAUUUCAUUUUCUGAGCAACUUCUUGUGUCACAUUUUGUUUCGUUAGCUUAUUAAUCUUACUUUCUAUUUUGAUGGUUCUGGAAGCGUCUCUGCUGCAUAAAUGCUGUCAGCUGUUGUACAGCGAACAGUGGCAAUUCUGUUUGGGCGUGUCCGAUUUACUUUUCUUGUUACCGAAUCUGAUCUUUCAUGAGUGAAAGCUAUAGCCUUAAAGCGGCUUUACCAGUUCUCUGCAAAAACUCGCCCUCACCACGGGGGGACGGAGAGAACAACGAGACAAAGUACUAAUAGUUUAACGCUAGCUGUUAUCACCGGAAAUAUUCUGAUUGAAGUUCAUUGUUCUGGGUUUAUUACAUAAGGGUGGAAUAAAAUCUCUGUUUUUAUCAAACUCAUUAAACAAUGGAAGGGAGUAAAGGUGAAUAAAGUAAUAAAAUAAGAUAUUAUCAAGAAUAUUUUAAGACCAUUCUGAUGAUUUGGAAACAAUGAUAAAAACAAGAGUCAGCAAGGGCAACCUGGUGCCUGUUACCAGUAAACUACGUAAUGCAUUAUGCAUUUCAGUCAUAAGAAUUUGACCAGAAGACAACAUUGAUUCAACAACAUCUUUUCUUUUUUUUAACAAAACAGCUGAAAUUCAAGUCCAGACAGAGGGUGUAACUCUAAGGGGUAUAUGUUAAGUAAUAAUAGAUGACAAAAUCAGUUGGAAACCUCAUAUUAAGCAUUUACAGAAUAAACUAUGUAGAAGCACAUCAGUCCUGGCUAAAGCCAGACAUAUUCUGAAUAAUAAAUCACUUCAUAUUCUAUACAACUCUGAUUUUGCCACAUUUAAGAUAUUGUUCAAAGGGAUGGGGAAUCCAUUACAAAAGCUCUUUACAACCACGGAGUAUCCUACAGAAACGAGCCGUUAGAGUCAUCCAUAAUGUCGGUUUUCAUGAGCACACAAACCCGCUAUUCUUCAAAUAUAGAAGUCUUAAAUUUGAAGAUCUGGUGGAAUUUAAAAUGGCUCAAAUUAUAUUUAAGGUAUCUAAUAAACCAUUACCUGAGCUCAUACAAAACAUGUUUUUUUGAAAGAGAAGGGGGAUAUAACUUAAGGGGUUACUCAAACUUAAGGAUUCGUAGUUUACGCACAAGAGCUGUUGUCCAAAAACUGGGCUACAAAUUGACACUAUUGUCUUUUCUCUCUCUCUCUCUUUGAAAACCCGACUUUAUCAUUUUUCUUGGCAGCAUAUUAACUGCUACAGUCGUUCUUGUCUUGUGCUGACUGCUGCUGAACACAGUCACCCCCGCAGCUUUGAAACACCUGAUGGAGAGGGGAUUCGAACCAGCAACCCACCAGUUCCAGGAUGGACUCCUACGCCUCCUGAGACACUUUGGUUUUUCUAAAACCCUUUUCUCCGUCAACCCAACUGGUCUUCUUGAUGCUGAUGGCGAGGGACCGGCAGCAAGCCAAACACUGAGAAACGACGGCGGUUCCCAGAGUUUACCAACACACACUGCGAUGUUGCGUAGCCUUUUUACGGAGGUCAAUUUUGCUUGGAAUCAGCAGCUUCUAUGGAAAUAGAAUAAAACCAAAGUGUUCUUUCAA